UUUCUUCGUCGAAACCCAUUAACUCGGGAUCUAGUUUCGAAGAUCUCGAUGAGAGAAAUUCAAAGAAGAAAAUGGUUCAGUGUUUGGACGCACGAUUAGAGAUAAAAUAAUUUGAAAGAAUAAAUCUAAAAAAAAGAGAGAAAACUCACAUGUUGUACUCCACUUGUCAACACCUGAGAGUGUAGUGAGUGAUCUUUGCAAAGGGUGAUUUCCUAUUAUAAAUUUAAACCAUAGGCACAAGUAUCGGACGAACAUAAUGAGUGGCCCAACUCUAAAUACGCUGCCGCAAUUAUUUGGUUCACAAGAUUUAAAAAACAUACAGAAGGCUGAAUCCUAAAGGGAUGAAGUACACAAAAAUCAACAAGUGGUUUGUUUGCCCCAUAAGAGAAUCAAGGAAUUUUGUAUAGAGAUCAAAUUCAUAUGAUAGGUAUCAUAGGCACGAAGUAAGAGGAAAAAUUCAAAAUCAUAGCAUAAGAAGAC
rnacentral:lncRNA from 1 species